AGAGUUUGAUCAUGGCUCAGAUUGAACGCUGGCGGCAGGCCUAACACAUGCAAGUCGAACGGUAACAGGAAGAAGCUUGCUUCUUUGCUGACGAGUGGCGGACGGGUGAGUAAUGUCUGGGAAACUGCCUGAUGGAGGGGGAUAACUACUGGAAACGGUAGCUAAUACCGCAUAACGUCGCAAGACCAAAGAGGGGGACCUUCGGGCCUCUUGCCAUCGGAUGUGCCCAGAUGGGAUUAGCUAGUAGGUGGGGUAACGGCUCACCUAGGCGACGAUCCCUAGCUGGUCUGAGAGGAUGACCAGCCACACUGGAACUGAGACACGGUCCAGACUCCUACGGGAGGCAGCAGUGGGGAAUAUUGCACAAUGGGCGCAAGCCUGAUGCAGCCAUGCCGCGUGUAUGAAGAAGGCCUUCGGGUUGUAAAGUACUUUCAGCGGGGAGGAAGGGAGUAAAGUUAAUACCUUUGCUCAUUGACGUUACCCGCAGAAGAAGCACCGGCUAACUCCGUGCCAGCAGCCGCGGUAAUACGGAGGGUGCAAGCGUUAAUCGGAAUUACUGGGCGUAAAGCGCACGCAGGCGGUUUGUUAAGUCAGAUGUGAAAUCCCCGGGCUCAACCUGGGAACUGCAUCUGAUACUGGCAAGCUUGAGUCUCGUAGAGGGGGGUAGAAUUCCAGGUGUAGCGGUGAAAUGCGUAGAGAUCUGGAGGAAUACCGGUGGCGAAGGCGGCCCCCUGGACGAAGACUGACGCUCAGGUGCGAAAGCGUGGGGAGCAAACAGGAUUAGAUACCCUGGUAGUCCACGCCGUAAACGAUGUCGACUUGGAGGUUGUGCCCUUGAGGCGUGGCUUCCGGAGCUAACGCGUUAAGUCGACCGCCUGGGGAGUACGGCCGCAAGGUUAAAACUCAAAUGAAUUGACGGGGGCCCGCACAAGCGGUGGAGCAUGUGGUUUAAUUCGAUGCAACGCGAAGAACCUUACCUGGUCUUGACAUCCACAGAACUUUCCAGAGAUGGAUUGGUGCCUUCGGGAACUGUGAGACAGGUGCUGCAUGGCUGUCGUCAGCUCGUGUUGUGAAAUGUUGGGUUAAGUCCCGCAACGAGCGCAACCCUUAUCCUUUGUUGCCAGCGGUCCGGCCGGGAACUCAAAGGAGACUGCCAGUGAUAAACUGGAGGAAGGUGGGG
rnacentral:rRNA from 1 species